ACAUCUUGCCCUGUCUGGCGCCCUGUCUAUACAAACUGUCGGUGGCGGGCCCGCCCGAAAGCGCAAGAGAGA
rfam:Trypanosoma cruzi marinkellei strain B7 TcMARK_CONTIG_21104, whole genome shotgun sequence.